rnacentral:lncRNA from 1 species
AGCAGAGAGCGGAGUUGGAUUGGCCUAAACGGAUGGAGAUAAUACACGGGAUUGCUCGCGGAAUCUUGUAUCUUCAUCAAGAUUCAAGACUGAGGAUCAUCCACAGAGACCUCAAGGCCAGCAAUGUACUUCUUGACAACGAAAUGAUCCCCAAGAUUGCGGAUUUUGGCAUGGCUAGAAUUUUUUGGGGAAAACAAAUCAGAGGAAGCACAAAUCGUGUCGUCGGAACAUAGUGAGUUAGUCUUUUACAAUUCACAUUGAACUGUGCAGAAUCUUUCAACCUUAUGUCGUUUUCAAUCUCAUUGUCACAGUGGAUAUAUGUCACCUGAGUAUGCAAUGGAGGGUCAUUUCUCCGUUAAAUCCGACGUCUACAGCUUCGGAGUAUUGAUCUUAGAGAUCAUAACAGGGAAGAAAAACAGUGCUUUCCACAAGGAAUCUUUGAACCUAGUUGGACAAGUAAGUACUAAACUGCAAAAAGAUUACAUGAAUAGAGGAUCAAAUCAGAACAUAACAUAACCAAAUGAUGUUUAUUUCGUCUUGUCUUGUAGAUAUGGGAUCUAUGGAACAAAGGUGAAGCAACAGCUAUCAUAGACGACAAACUAAUGAAUCAAGAUAUUAAUGAUGAGAGCGAAGUGAUGAAGUGCGUACACAUUGGGUUGCUUUGCGUGCAAGAAAAUGCUUCGGAUAGACCAGACAUGCCCUCUGUUGUGUCCAUGUUUGGUCAUAACGCCAAUGACUUUCCUCCUCCCAAGCAUCCUGCGUUUACGUCGGGAAGGAAGACACACGUCAAGAAUGACGACCUCAGUGGAGAAAACAGCGCUUCUGUUAAUGACAUUACUCUCACUGAUGUUUAUGGCCGUUGAAAUAUUUUGAAUUAUUGAGAGAUGUAUCUUAUUUUUGAUAACUAUGAAACAAGGAGGAAGCCGGAGAAGAAAUGGGGAAGAGUGGUGGUGGUGGUUAGCUCCCUGCUGAUGGAUCUGAUGUUUUCAUUGUUCCCAUGGUUUCUCCUCUUAUUACCUUUGUAAGACUUAUUUAUGAUCAUACUCUUUCUGGAUUAUGCUUUAUUGGCUGAUGAAUUUACUGAGUUUAUCUUUGGGGGUAGUGGUUAAAAUGUCACAUAAAGUUUUUUUUCCACACUCUUUAGGAAAAAUAAAAAGCAUAAAGUUAUUGCCAGUCAUUAUCAUCUUUAACUUCACCUGCUAUGGGAUGUAAGUGUUUCUUGUUAGUGAUUGAUAUUAUCUUAUAGAGUUCCUUUCCAAAGAGGAUGUCAAACAUAUUAGAUGUAUGAUUUUUUAUUGUGUCAGGUGACCAUGAGAAUGAAUGUGGAUGUUUGACACCGCAUAUAUAGACAGUAUGUUGAAUACCAUGGAUUAUUAGAGUUCAUGACAAUAUUUCUAUGUAUGUGUAGACAAAAGUGAUACUACAGGCAUAAUCUAAAGGUGAUAUUUCUAUGUAUGCUUGAGUGAACAAGAACACAGAGAAGACGAGGAACGUGUGUUAUCUGAAAAGACCUAAAACAUAUUCCCUCUAUUUCAUAAUAGGUGAAGUUUGCAUAAAUCUAUGUAACUUUAACUUUUUUUUUUGGUGUAAAUGUUAAGAUUUAUAUCAUGUUUUUUCAGUUUUUUAAGUUAUGGAAAACCACUUAUUACAAGAAAAACAAAUUACUAAAAAACAAAAAGGGAAUUCAAAAACUGUGUAAUCAAUUAGAUUUUUUUCUUAUUUUUAUUUAUAAUUAAAUAAACUAAUUUUAUAUUGUAAUUUAGUGAUGCUUUAGUUUUUUUAAAUAUUUGUAUAUUGGAGUAAAACAUCAAGUAAUAAGAAACAGAGCGAGUAUUAUUACUGCAUUUAAGUUGAAAAGAAAUAGAAUAUAUUAUCCAAUUAUUUUAAGAGAAAAAGACUAGGAUAGCACCAAAAACGGAUGGAGAUAAUACACGGGAUUGCUCGCGGAAUCUUGUAUCUUCAUCAAGAUUCAAGACUGAGGAUCAUCCACAGAGACCUCAAGGCCAGCAAUGUACUUCUUGACAACGAAAUGAUCCCCAAGAUUGCGGAUUUUGGCAUGGCUAGAAUUUUUUGGGGAAAACAAAUCAGAGGAAGCACAAAUCGUGUCGUCGGAACAUA